CCUACGGGAGGCAGCAGUGAGGAAUAUUGGUCAAUGGGCGUAAGCCUGAACCAGCCAAGUCGCGUGAGGGAUGAAGGUUCUAUGGAUCGUAAACCUCUUUUAUAAGGGAAUAAAGUGUGGGACGUGUCCUAUUUUGUAUGUACCUUAUGAAUAAGGAUCGGCUAACUCCGUGCCAGCAGCCGCGGUAAUACGGAGGAUCCGAGCGUUAUACGGAUUUAUUGGGUUUAAAGGGUGCGUAGGCGGCCUUUUAAGUCAGCGGUGAAAGUCUGUGGAUCAACCAUAGAAUUGGCGUUGAAACUGGGGGGCUUGAGUAUGUUUGAGGCAGGCGGAAGGCGUGGUGUAGCGGUGAAAUGCUUAGAUAGCACGCAGAACCCCGAUUGCGAAGGCAGCCUGCCAAGCCAUGACUGACGCUGAUGCACGAAAGCGUGGGGAUCAAACAGGAUUAGAUACCCUUGUAGUC
rnacentral:rRNA from 1 species